CAUGUGUAGCGGUGAAAUGCGUAGAUAUAUGGAGGAACACCAGUGGCGAAAGCGGCUCUCUGGUCUGUCACUGACGCUGAGGCUCGAAAGCGUGGGUAGCGAGCAGGAUUAGAUACCCUGGUAGUNCACGCCGUAAACGAUGAGUGCUAGGUGUUAGGCCCCUUCCGGGGCUUAGUGCCGGAGCUAACGCAAUAAGCACUCCGCCUGGGGAGUACGACCGCAAGGUUGAGACUCAAAGGAAUUGACGGGGGCCCGCACAAGCGGUGGAGCAUGUGGUUUAAUUCGAAGCAACGCGAAGAACCUUACCAGGUCUUGACAUCCCGAUGCUAUUCUUAGAGAUAGGAAGAUACUUCGGUACAUCGGAGACAGGUGGUGCAUGGUUGUCGUCAGCUCGUGUCGUGAGAUGUUGGGUUAAGUCCCGCAACGAGCGCAACCCUUAUUGUUAGUUGCCAUCAUUAAGUUGGGCACUCUAGCGAGACUGCCGGUAAUAAACCGGAGGAAGGUGGGGAUGACGUCAAAUCAUCAUGCCCCUUAUGACCUGGGCUACACACGUGCUACAAUGGUCGGUACAACGAGUUGCGAGCCGGUGACGGCAAGCUAAUCUCUGAAAGCCGAUCUCAGUUCGGAUUGGAGGCUGCAACUCGCCUCCAUGAAGUCGGAAUCGCCAGUAAUCGCGGAUCAGCACGCCGCGGUGAAUACGUUCCCGGGCCUUGUACACACCGCCCGUCACACCACGAGAGUUUGUAACACCCGAAGUCGGUGAGGUANCCUUUUAGGG
rnacentral:rRNA from 1 species